rnacentral:rRNA from 1 species
AAACGAUGUGGGAAGGCCCAGACAGCCAGGAUGUUGGCUUAGAAGCAGCCAUCAUUUAAAGAAAGCGUAAUAGCUCACUGGUCGAGUCGGCCUGCGCGGAAG